UCUCCAAGAACACAGAUACAUAGAUACAUAGAGACAUACAUUGCUUAAUUCAACCAAUAGAUGGAAUCAGGGGUUGAGAUAUGGUUAUAUGGUUUUGUUUUUUCCAUAUAUUAGCUCUGAAAUAUUGAACAAGUGAUGAACUAUCUCCAAACUUUAAUUUCUUUAAUUUCUUCUUUUGUGAUAGAGAUACAGUACUUAAACCAAAGAUUGUUACAAAAGUUGUUAAGGUAUACAAAAGAUUGUCAAGUGCAAUUCAAUUCUAAAUAUCCUAAUAUUUAUUCUCAUAAGUCAGAAGAAUGCUUAUAAAAUUACAAGUGUUGGGACAGUUUAGCAAUAUUAGAGUUCUUGUGCAUGCUGGUAGGAACGUAAGAUGGCACAGAAACGAGGGAAAAAGUAUCAUAGUUUCUCAAAAAAGAGUAAGAGCAUACGUUAUGGCAUAGUUUGUUAAGCAGCUGCCUCGGCAUCUGCAUCCCAUAUCCAAGUGCUUGGGUUUAAAUCCUAGCUCCACUUCUGAUCCAGUUUCCUUCUAAUGCCCAACCUGGGAGGCAGAAUAUGGUGGCCUAGGUACUCAGGUCCCUGCCACCCACAUGGGCGACUCAAAUGGAAUUCCUGGCUCCUGGCUACAGCCUGGCCCAGCUCCAGCUGUUGAAUACAUUUGGGGAGUGAACCAGUGCAUGGAAGUUCUUGGUAUUUCUUUCUUUCUCUUUUUUCCUCUCUCUGCCUUUCAAAUAAGCAAAAAUAAAUAAACUUUUAAAAAGUAAUAUAAUCUUUAAGAAAUAAAUACAGAAUUACUGGGCCACCGCUGUGGCGCAGUUGCUUAACUCCCUGGCCUGAAGCGCCGGCAUCCCAUAUGGGCACCAGUUCGAGACUCGGCUGUUCCACUUCCAAUCCAGCUCUCUGCUAUAGCCUGGGAAAGCAGUAAAAGAAAGAUGGCCCAAGUCCUUGGGCCCCUGCACCCAUGUGGGAGACCUGGAAAAAGCUCCUGGCUUCGGAUCACACUCUCUCUCUCUCUCUCUCCUCUCUCUGUGUAACUCUUUCAAAUAAAUAAAUCAAUAUUUUUUUAAAAAUAAAGAAUUACUGGAUCAUCCAGAAAUUCUACUUCUGGUUAUAUAUCCAAAAUUAUUCAGCCUUAAAAAUGAAUGAAAUUCUGACACAUGCUAAAGCAUGUAUACCCUUGAGGACAUUAGCUAAAUGAAGUAAGUCAGACACAGAAGGACAAAGAUUGUAUGAUUCUACCUCCAUGGGUGCCUAUAGAAGUCAAACUCAUAGAGAGUAAAAUGGUGGUUGCUCGGAACUGGUGGCAGAUGAGAAUGGGGUGUUAUUGUUCCAUGUGCAUGGAGUUUCAGUUUGGGAUGGUGUAAGAGUUCCCGAAGUGGUGGUGGUGGUAAUGGUUGCACAAUAGUGUGGAUGUGCUCAAUACCACUGAGCUGCAACUUAAAAAUGGUUCAAAUGAUAAAUUUGAUGUUAUAUAUCUUUUAGUCACAAUUUACAAACAAAAUAGACCACAGAGUCCCCACUUGGGAGAGGAUAUGGAGGACACAGAUGCAAAAGCAAAGAUAUGGGAGUUACCAUUUUGUUGGGGAGAGUAAACAAGUACAUGAAACACCCAACCCUAAAGGACACCUCCGGAGUGAUGCAAGCCUGCUGCAGGAGGUGAGAGGAGGGACAGUGAGUGUGCUGUCUUGCAGAGACUUGGGAAGGCUCACUUGGUGGAUGUGGAUACCUAGGUGGAGGCUAAGUUUCUCAUGGGACCCGGACAGAAUUUUUCCAGCAACUACCUCUCUAGUCACUACCUUAGAAAGUAUUCAUAGCCUCCUGUUACAACUUAACUCCAGGGAUCCUCUGCAAUAUUGAAUAGUUGGCUUUUUAUAUUUUUAUAAAUAUAUAUGUAUGUAUAUAUAUAUAUAAAAUUUACUUAUUGGCACCUUCAAGCCAAGAGGUUGCCAGGAAGCUCUCUGAGCGAACUAGACACAUGCCAUCUUAAACAUCUGUUUCAAACUGAGAACUGCAGGGAUUGCAUGGAGAAAAUCAAAAGGCUGGGUAUUGAUUAACAAAUUAUCUGGGGUAAGCCAAGUUGCCACAAAUCAUUAAUGCCAUUAGACACCCAGGACAGUGGUGCUAUGCUGUUAACUCUAAGUGCAGUCUUGCAGUGUACCAAGGAAAACGAAGUUCUGCUUUGGUGAUGGCAGAAGGAUGUUAUUGGGGGCAUACUUUGUAGAGUGCGGUCACUAUGCUGAGGUACAUAAGGAAAAAGGCCUGUAUUUAAAAAGCUGACAAAUAUGGAUUCAAAUCCAGGUUCUAGCACUUACUACACUGUGACGUUGAACAGUUAUUUCUAUGAUUCUCAUGUGAAGAGAUAUUAUACCUACUUCAGAGGCUUUGGAAAAAGAUGACUACAAUCUAUAAAAUGUAAUGAGAAGAAAAUUAGCAAUAAAACUUUCAAUGUAAGUAUUGGAACCUGCAUCUAAAUUGUAGUUAAAAAAAUAGCUGACUUAUAUGGCACCAACAUUAUCCUCAGAACUAUAAUAAGCACUGUUCAUUAUGAAUGCUUAACUCUUGGAAAAAUCCUAUGAGCGAUCCAAUGGUGAGGUUAACCAUACCGUGUUACAUUUGUAACCUGACUUUACAUUUGAGGGAACUGAAGCACAGAGCAGUGAAGAUACUUGCCAAAUGCCACAAAGCUAGUAACUGUUAUUGCUGGAACCCAUUUUAUAAACAGCAAUAUGGUACAGCAGAGAUGAAAUUUAACAGGCUCCUAAGAAAUGAAUUCACCAUGUAUAAAAAUGUAUCUACCAAACAGGUCAUGCAGGAUGUGCAGUUGGCUUUGUUCCUGACUGAUUCACCUGAUAGGAGUUGUAAAAAGUGAGAGAUGACCUAGAAUACCUCCAAAAUCCAUGAAGAAAUGAGAAGAUCUCUUGUUGGCUGUGAGAAUGGAAGAAUAAAGUGUACAGCAGGGAAUUCAAACCACAACCGUGAGCCCACUGUCAAGAAUCAACAUUUGGCUGGAUGCCACCAAGAAAAAUACAUAACAACCCAACAGAACUACAACUAUGAAAAAUCAAUAGAUGGCAGAAUUACACAGUGAGAGAGACAGAGAGAAAGGUCUUCCUUCCGUUGGUUCACCUCCCAAAUGGCUGCUACGGCUGGCGCCCUGCGCCGAUCCAAAGCCAAAGGCCAGGUGAUUCCUCCUGGUCUCCCACGCAGGUGCAGGGGCCCAAGCACUUGGGCCAUCCUCCACUGCCCUCCCGGGCCACAGCAGAGAGCUGGACUGGAAGAGGAGCAACCGGGACAGAAUCCUGCACCCCAACCUGGACCAGAACCUGGGGUGCCGGCGCCACAGGUAGAGGAUUAGCCUAGUGAGCCACAGCGCUGGCCUAAAUCUGUGCAUAGUUUUUUAUAAUAAUGUUUUUACAUGAGCUUUUUGAAGACCCCUCAAAUAUGGUUAUGUUUAUAUUUUAAAAAGUAAUUUUUCAGGGCUAGCAUAGUGAAUUAAGCCAUUGUAAUGCCAGCAUCCCUUAUCAGAGUGCCCUUUCAAGUCCCAAGAGUCCAGUUGUUCCACUUCCAAUCCAGCUCCAUGCUGACGUACCUGAGAAAGAAAUGGAUGAUAGCCCAGGAAGAUUGGACCCACUCAGAUGGAGAUCUAGAUUCCUGGCCUGGCAGCCCCAGUUGUUGCACCCAUUUGGGAGUGAUUCAGCAAAUACAAGCUCGCUCUCUCUCUCUCUCCCCCCCACCCCCCGUCCUCUCUCCUCUCCGCGUCCCCAUCUCUCUGCCUUUCAAAUAAAAUUAAACUUCAAAAAAAUAAAAUAAAUUCUUCAUGGGUGGGAGAGGAAGAGUUUUAUUCUAAUUCUCUUACCAUCAUGUUUCAGGGUCCACAUCUAAUACUAUUAACUCCAUGUUCUAUGAACACUCUCCUGAUUUCUAGCCAGGUAUUAUGCUUUGUUUAUUUGAAUAUCCAAAGUGUUCCAUGCAUCUUUUUCCUUGCUUGGCUUCAUUCAUUUCAGUCAUUCAUAAAUUAACUAACUUUAUCAUAAACUCUCUUGGGGUUAUUAUUGGAUAUAUAGCAGAUGCCCAAGCCCUCUAACACUUUUAACAUUGUGCAAGUGAUUGUAUAAUGUUACCUCUGCAUAUUUUAUUGCUCCAAUUGCAGUUGAGGUCAUUUAAAAACAAGAACUAUUUCUAAGGACAGCAAAUCAGUGGUGGAGUGGGUGUACGAAUGAAUGAAUGAAAUAGUCUAAGAUUGCCUUUGCAGUGCCAAAGGAGCUCCGGGCAAAGUCAGGCUACUGCGGUUUCAGUGUCUAGCAUCGUUCUUACAGCAUUGGGCGCCCUCCUGCAGCUAAAGCACGUGGUCCAGAAGCAGGAAACUUGGUUUCUAGAUGCAAAAUUUAUCACCUGGCAUCGGUAGCUUUGAAAACUCAACUCUCUGGGUCUCAUUUACAAAUCUGUGGAAUAAAAGUUCAUUUCAGUUCUGACAUUCUACAAUUCUUGAAACCUUUGGUCUUUUACAAUAAAAAAAAGAAGCAAAUCACCAAAAUAAAUUUUGAGUUUGGCAAACAAAUAUUUCUUUUAUUACAUCCUUACACUUCAAUGUAUGCCUGCUCAUGCAAGCACUAUUAUAAGUGCAUUGCUUGUAUUAACAUUUAUCCUUAUGAGACGAGACUAUCUUAUUUCAUUUUCAUAUAGAGACAAUGAAAGAGUAGGGAACUUACAUACCUGGUGGCUGAGCCAAUUUCAGAUCCACGAGCCUGGCCCCGUGGCAGUGCUCGGAACCUUACUGCUUCUCCAGGGCACCUGCAUGGGUCCAGUCUUCUCAGAACCACAGGCUCAAUCCAUUAGCACAGACUUCAUGUUCUUGUUUCAACAUGAAGGGGUAAUUCACAAAGGUGUUGUGAGAGAGCUCAGUCCCCAGGAGAGUGAAGAGAUAUUCGCUGAUGACUACUGCAUGUGGGGCCAGGGCCUUAGUUCUGUCUGACAUUGCAGAUACUGGAUUGGGAAACCAAAGUGCGGAGAGCCUUCCGACCUGAGUUUUGGAAAGAAUGUUUUUCUCUUCCAGAAACCUCAUCAAACAUGAGCUCUAAAGGCGAGCCCUGUCAUUGCAACAUUACCUGAUUUCCUCCUGCUCAGAGGAUUCUGUUUGACUCAAUAGUAGGGAAGGCUUCCUUUAUCUGUAAGUUCGUGCUGCAAACUGGAUUUAGGAAGCCAUCACAGCACUGCUUCCCCAAUCCCUUUGCUAAACUCAGAAGUAUCUCGGUGACAAGAAACAUCCUGAGAUGGUUAAACAGGCCUUUUAAAACUGGGCCAGGCAGAGUGAGUAAACAGGGGGAUUUUCAUCACACAGAGCAUGUACUUUGAAUCCAACAAAGAAUACAGAGUAGCAGGUAAGAUAAAGAUGAUGCUAGAGCUAACAGUGAUUGCAAUCAACAUUCAGAGCUGCUGGCCUGCCUUCGCUUACCCAGCCAGAUGCUUCCUCCUGUCCUUUUUCUUCCUUCUCCUUUCCUGCUCCCCCUCCUAACCCCCAAUUCCCCUUCCCACCUGUCCUUUCUUUCCCAAGUCCUACAGGCUUGUUAUUGUUUUCUCCUCCUGGUCGCAUAAAUGCAUAUUCAAAGUCCUGAAAGCCUGUGUAUGAAUAACAUGUCUUCACACUUUGAUUUUGUUUAUCCAUAUAUUCAUAUUCAUUCAUCAGACCAUUAUAGACCAUUAUUCAUUAUCUGUUGGGAGCCAAGUCUUAGGCUGCCCUCAUGCACAGUGUAUAUACCUUAGGACAGAUGUAGUGUGGUCUUUUCUCCAGGGAUGCUGUAUUUGGCUGCAAAGCCUGAAGGUAACGUAAGUUGAGUGUAUGCUUGUAGCAUACCAUUGAUCAUGCGUUCAGGGUCUAGCAGAAAUCAGGCCUAUCCAUUUCAGCCUUAGGGAAAACAGAUGUUUUAGGAAACUAGAAAAACAAAAACUCUCCUGCUUGGUCUUUAUGAAACUCUACUGGAGCUCUGGAAAAAUCUCAACCAUAAGCAGGGACCAAAUAGUGUCCAGCUCUCAGUGUCUCCUGCAUUAUUCACUAAAGAAUUCCCUACAAGCUUGGGAAACUUUUCCAGAGCAACCCGUAAACCAGUGACUCAUGGUGUAGGAAAACAGUAUGAUUAUAAAUCAUGAUAUAAUGUUUUGGCACAAAGAUGCCCCAAAGCACCAUAUCAAAAUCAGACCAUUGCUUUUGAAAGAGUGUUAUUUAAUUCUGUUUCUCAUAUACUCACUGAGCACCUCCUGGGCACCCAGCAAGCCGUACAUUCUGAGACUUUUUUCAUUUCCACCCAAGUUAAGAAGACUAGAUAGGUACAAACCGGACAAUAGCUGCAGCACGGUAAAGGUGAAACAGUCCUCAGCUGGGAAUCUUGGUUCUGGAUCUAAGUGCCUCCGCUUGUUAGCUGUGAAGCAUUAUUUAAAAAAAAAAAAUAAUAAUAAUAAUAAUCAGGGGGCCGGCGCCAUGGCUCACUAGGUUAAUCCUCUGCCUGUGGCACCGGCAUCCCAUAUGGGCGCCGGGCUCUAGUCCUGGUUGCUCCUCUUCCAGUCCAGCUCUCUGCUGUGGCCCAGGAGGGCAGUGGAGGAUGGCCCAAGUGCUUGGGCCCUGCACCCGCAUGGGAGACCAGGAGGACGCACCUGGCUCCUGGCUUCAGAUCGGUGUAGUUCCAGCAAUAGCGGCCAUUUGGGGGGUGAACCAACGGAAGGAAGACCUUUCUCUCUAUCUCUCUCUCUCUCACUAACUCUAUCUGUCAAAAAAAAAAAAAGGUCAGAACUGUUGUAAAGAUUUCUUGUGUAUUUUAUGCAAAUUAAUAAAUAGAAAAUAUUUUUAUGAUUUGUAGAGAAUACAAAGCAAGUAGAAUUCCUUAUCCGACUUAUAUAAUCCCAUUGAGUAAGCCAGUAUUUCACAAACAAGUUGCUACCUAUUAAAUGGGCCAUGAAAUCAAUUUGGUGAUAACUGACUUUUUUCUUAAUGUAAUUGAUCAGAAUAGAAGAUAGUGUAUCAUACAUAAUAAGGGUAAGUUUUGUUCCAGGUAACUUGUCUCUAUUGCAUGUAUUUGUGUACCAUCCUUUGACAGGGAAAGGAUUUCCGAGUAUGGGUUACUUUAAAAAUGCGGAGACCACAUGCCAUCCCUAAUCUAGUUUUCAUAAAAUUACCUGAUUCUGCCUUGCUGCCUCUCUAAUUAUUCAGCUUAACUCACUCAGUACAGUAUUUCUGGAAUGCUACAAAAACAACUAGAGAAGACUGAGAAUAUUUAAAUGCCACACCAAGUAACAAUUAAUUACUCUUUGGUAACAGGAAGUCAUGGAAAGGGUGAUGAAACUAGAAUAUUAAAGUCAAUUUCCAGGGGUCCCAUCCAGAGAUUCCUAGAGGAAGGAUAGGAAUUUUCUGAUGGGAGAAUCAAAGAGAAGAAGCCAGAGUAGGGGACAGAGGCUGAACCCAGUGUAAGUGAACAUGGUCCAUCUGAGCUGUCUGCCUAAGCAGCAGCUUGGAGCCACUAGAUAGGGACUCAGACAGAGGCACUGUGCAAGUAAGGCAAGAUUGACACCUUGCAAAUCUCCUUGCAGAUCUAAUUUAUCCCAACUGCAAGCCCUCACAGGCACAACCUGGUCCUUCUCUCCCUUGAAUCAUCUUCCCUCAGCCCUGACCAUGGCCAGUCCCUACGCACAGUAACCACAGACCAGGAAAGGGCAAGAGGCAGGAAGUAGAGCAGUGUAGAAAAUCUGUCAUCCUAGACUGUCAUAUUCACGUUCCUGGUGCUCUGUGCUCGGAGUGAACCUUUGCCACUGUGUGUUCUCACAGAAUCUCACUACCUGUACCAAUGAGAUAGCAGUGGUGACACAUCCCGCCUGCGUGAUUUGGUGUGGCUGCACUAUUAAGGCACUGUUAAGGCAAGAUGGGCCCCUGGGACAAUGCCAAAGGCCGAACAGCAGGAGUAAGAGUCAUGCCACAGGUCACAGUGAAGAGGAAAUUAGAAUGGGACAGGGACAAGGGAGAAAAAUAAGGCCCCUGGGGAGGGCAGAUUUCCUAAUCUCUGUUUUCUGUAAUCCUUGAUCCAGUUCCCAUAGCUGUCCACAUGUCUGGGAAGAUGGCCCAAUCCCUGUUCCUCAUAGGUGUCAACAUGUCUGGGCAGGCGUCCUAAUCUCAGUUUCUGUAAACCUCUGUUCAAGUUCCCCAUAAGUGUAGCCUCAAGUUCCUCAUGGGUGGUCCUAAGUCAAGCAGGCUGUAAUCAAACCCGUCAAUGUUGUAAUGGUUAAGGCUUGAUGCUGACGAUGCUCCGCCUGGGGAAGCAAUUCCACUGGACCAAGAGACAUUAAUAAACCUCCGAUCCUCCACUCAACCUCUGGUGCCUGCUGGAACUAAGGGAACUUCCCCAAUCCAGCUUUCUGUAGCAAGAAGGCAAGCCAGCGAAA